UCUUGGGGCCAUCCGCCCUGGUGAAGCCGACCCCACUGGUGAAACUUCACCACAAGUGAAACUUCACCAGUGAAACUUCUCAGCUAUGUGUAUUGUGAGCAGCCUAUUGUAUAACC